rnacentral:rRNA from 1 species
CCCUUAGAUGUUCUGGGCCGCACGCGUGCUACACUGAGUGGAUCAGCGGGUCAGGUUGCGCGAAAGUGUUUCCUAAUCUUGAAAUCCGCUCGUGAUGGGGAUUGACGGUUGCAAUUUUCCGUCAUGAACGAGGAAUACCUUGUAAGCGCGGGUCAUCAUCCCGCGCUGAAUACGUCCCUGCCCUUUGUACACACCGCCCGUCGCUCCUACAGAUUGAGUGGUCCGGUGAGGCUUUGGGAUCUGAGCGGAAAGAGCGUUUCGCUGUUUCUGCUCGGAAAACUCAGUCGAACCUUAUCAUUUAGAGGAAGGAGAAGUCGUAACA